rnacentral:rRNA from 1 species
CCUACGGGAGGCAGCAGUGGGGAAUAUUGGACAAUGGGGGGAACCCUGAUCCAGCCAUGCCGCGUGUGUGAAGAAGGCCCUCGGGUUGUAAAGCACUUUCAGUGAGGAAGAACGCCUGGUGGUUAAUACCCAUCAGGAAAGACAUCACUCACAGAAGAAGCACCGGCUAACUCCGUGCCAGCAGCCGCGGUAAUACGGAGGGUGCGAGCGUUAAUCGGAAUUACUGGGCGUAAAGCGCGCGUAGGUGGCUUGAUAAGCCGGUUGUGAAAGCCCCGGGCUCAACCUGGGAACGGCAUCCGGAACUGUCAAGCUAGAGUGCAGGAGAGGAAGGUAGAAUUCCCGGUGUAGAGGUGAAAUGCGUAGAGAUCGGGAGGAGUACCAGUGGCGAAGGCGGACUUCUGGACUGACACUGACACUGAGGUGCGAAAGCGUGGGUAGCAAACAGGAUUAGAUACCCCGGUAGUC